rnacentral:rRNA from 1 species
GACAGAGGCCUCAAGCGUUAGGCGGAAUCACUGGGCUUAAAGCGUGUGUAGGCGGACUUCUAAGUGCCUUGUGAAAUCCCACGGCUCAACCGUGGAACUGCUGGGCAUACUGGGAGUCUUGGGCCAUUCAGGGGCAACUGGAACAAGCGGUGGAGCGGUGAAAUGCGUUGAUAUCGAUAGGAACUCCGGUGGCGAAGGCGGCAUACUGGACCACUUCUGACGCUGAGGCGCGAAAGCCAGGGGAGCAAACGGG